rnacentral:misc_RNA from 1 species
AACGCACAUUGCGCCCCAUGGUAUUCCGUGGGGCAUGCCUGUUCGAGCGUCAUUUACCCUCUCAAGCUCCGCUUGGUGUUGGGCGUCUGUCCCGCUUCGCGCGCGGACUCGCCCUAAAGGUAUUGGCAGCGGUCGUGCCAGCUUCUCGCGCAGCACAUUGCGCUUCUCGAGGCACCGGCGGGCCCGCGUCCAUCAAGCUCCACCCCCCAGUUUGACCUCGGAUCAGGUAGGGAUACCCGCUGAACUUAA